UCUAGCCCCUGACCCAAUUGAGCUGCUGUGCUGAGUAGAAGGGUCGUCCUCAGUCUACACUAGAGUUGAUAAACUCACUGGGCUCCAUCACAGAACCUAAGAAGGCAAAAGAAAAAUCUCAUCACUGGAAGAGAUAAGUGGUCAGUGGGAAACAUGACAGAGAAAAAGAAUGAAGGAGGAGGAGAACACUCUUGAGAGAUAGUGUCACUGACACCCUUGGAUGCAAUUGAACCUGAAAUUGUCCCUGGACUUCCCAUUCCAGAAUCAAUAAUUCUUUUUCUUUUAGUAAUCCAGUUUGCAACCAACAAAGCACCAAGCACCGUUUUCUCUUCAUGUUACCAAAGAGGAUACAGUUUGAGAAGUCAAAUUACCGUCUUUAUGAUCUGUGUGCACUUGGCAAUCUGGGUUUCAAUCCCAUAUCUAUAUGAUUCCAAAACCAAAGAGACCCCAAGGCAUGAAGCCUCACAAUGUCAUCCGUGAGGCCAAAGAAUGUGACCACACAGCCAAACUUUGGAAAGAAGUAGCAGACUCUGACAUCUACAGUAGCUACUUGGCAGGUGGGGAAAUUAUAUUGAGAGUGUUUCCUCUGACACUUAGCUAAUCAUUUCCCUUGAGAGGAAAGCAAUAUUUCUUAGAGAAAUGCAAACUUUUCUCAGUCAGAUAGAUUUUUUUUUUUGAAAUAUAACAUGCCAAGA